rnacentral:lncRNA from 1 species
GCGCACAUAGAAAGGGAGACCGAAGGCACUGGAGGCUGUGUUCGUGGGGCACGUGAGGAUAACGGCGGCUCGCGCUGGAAGCUGCUAGGGUUUCGGCGUUUGGGGAAAGUUUUGGGCUAGGCUAGUGUUUGGGUAGUUUAGGUUAAAACGGGUUGGGCCUGUGUAUUUGGACUUUAUUUAUUUUUAUUCAGUUUUUUAAUUUUUUUUAUUUAAUCCUAAUGGGCUUGGGCUAAAAAUUGGGUAUUACAAUGAACAUUCACUUAAUAAGAUAUUCAUAACAAAUAUAAUGUUUUAAAAUAUCUAUAUAGUAGGUUUAUGUUUAUG